rnacentral:rRNA from 1 species
AUACGUAGGGAGCGAGCGUUGUCCGGAAUUACUGGGCGUAAAGAGCUCGUAGGUGGUUUGUCGCGUCGUCUGUGAAAUUCCGGGGCUUAACUCCGGGCGUGCAGGCGAUACGGGCAUAACUUGAGUACUGUAGGGGAGACUGGAAUUCCUGGUGUAGCGGUGAAAUGCGCAGAUAUCAGGAGGAACACCGGUGGCGAAGGCGGGUCUCUGGGCAGUAACUGACGCUGAAGAGCGAAAGCAUGGGUAGCGAACAGGAUUAGAUACCCUGGUAGUCCAUGCUGUAAACGGUGGGCGCUAGGUGUAGGGGUCUUCCACGACUUCUGUGCCGUAGCUAACGCAUUAAGCGCCCCGCCUGGGGAGUACGGCCGCAAGGCUAAAACUCAAAUGAAUUGACGGGG